rnacentral:rRNA from 1 species
GACGUAGGGCGCGAGCGUUGUCCGGAUUUAUUGGGCGUAAAGAGCUCGUAGGCGGUUUGUCGCGUCUGCCGUGAAAGUCCGGGGCUCAACUCCGGAUCUGCGGUGGGUACGGGCAGACUAGAGUGAUGUAGGGGAGACUGGAAUUCCUGGUGUAGCGGUGAAAUGCGCAGAUACCAGGAGGAACACCGAUGGCGAAGGCAGGUCUCUGGGCAUUAACUGACGCUGAGGAGCGAAAGCAUGGGGAGCGAACAGG